rnacentral:rRNA from 1 species
UUUUCAGUGUCGCAGCAAAAGCGUUAAGCACACCGCCUGGGGAGUACGACCGCAAGGUUAAAACUCAAAUGAAUUGACGGGGACCCGCACAAGUAGUGGAGCAUGUGGUUUAAUUCGAAGAUACGCGCAGAACCUUACCAACACUUGACAUGUUCGUCGCGACUCUAAGAGAUUAGAGUUUUCGGUUCGGCCGGACGAAACACAGGUGCUGCAUGGCUGUCGUCAGCUCGUGUCGUGAGAUGUUGGGUUAAGUCCCGCAACGAGCGCAACCCUUACUUUUAGUUGCUACCAUUUAGUUGGGCACUCUAAAAGAACUGCCAGUGAUAAGCUGGAGGAAGGUGGGGAUGACGUCAAGUCCUCAUGGCCCUUAUGUGUUGGGCUACACACGUGCUACAAUGGUAUUUACAGUGGGAAGCAAAGAGGCAACUCCAAGCAAACCCUCAAAAAAUACCUCAGUUCGGAUUGUACUCUGCAACUCGAGUACAUGAAGCUGGAAUUACUAGUAAUCGCGGAUCAGCGCGCCGCGGUGAAUACGUUCCCGGGUCUUGUACACACCGCCCGUCACACCAUGGAAGUUGGUUACACCUUAAGGCAAAGUGUAAAAUCUUUGACUACGGUACGAUCAGCGACUGGGGUGAAGUCGUAACAAGGUAGCCGUAGGGGAACCUGCGGCUGGAUCACCUCCUU